CUUAUCCUACGGGGGGCAGCAGUAGGGAAUCUUCCACAAUGGGCGAAAGCCUGAUGGAGCAACGCCGCGUGGGUGAAGAAGGUCUUCGGAUCGUAAAACCCUGUUGUUAGAGAAGAAAGUGCGUGAGGGUAACUGUUCACGUUUCGACGGUAUCUAACCAGAAAGCCACGGCUAACUACGUGCCAGCAGCCGCGGUAAUACGUAGGUGGCAAGCGUUAUCCGGCUUUAUUGGACGUAAAGGGAACGCAGGCGGUCUUUUAAGUCUGCUGUUAAAGUCUUCGGCUGAACAGGAGUAUGUCAUUGGA
rnacentral:rRNA from 1 species